rnacentral:rRNA from 1 species
CCUACGGGUGGCAGCAGUGGGGAAUAUUGGGCAAUGGACGAGAGUCUGAACCAGCCAAGUAGCGUGAAGGAUGACUGCCCUAUGGGUUGUAAACUUCUUUUAUAUGGGAAUAAAACGUUCCACGUGUGGGAUUUUGUAUGUACCAUAUGAAUAAGGAUCGGCUAACUCCGUGCCAGCAGCCGCGGUAAUACGGAGGAUCCGAGCGUUAUCCGGAUUUAUUGGGUUGAAAGGGAGCGUAGGUGGAUUGUUAAGUCAGUUGUGAAAGUUUGCGGCUCAACCGUAAAAUUGCAGUUGAAACUGGCAGUCUUGAGUACAGUAGAGGUGGGCGGAAUUCGUGGUGUAGCGGUGAAAUGCUUAGAUAGCACGAAGAACUCCGAUUGCGAAGGCAGUUCACUGGACUGAAACUGACACUGAGGCUCGAAAGUGUGGGUAUCAAACAGGAUUAGAUACCCUUGUAGUC